rnacentral:rRNA from 1 species
GGGUCAGUAGGUUGGUCGUGCCACCCGUACGUACUGGUCUCACUGAUUCCUCCUUCCUGAAGAACCGUAAUGCCAUUAAUUUGGUGUUGCGGGGAAACAGGACUGUUACUUUGAAAAAAUUAGAGUGUUUAAAGCAAGCUAACGCUUGAAUACAUUAGCAUGGAAUAAUGAAAUAGGACGAUCGAUCCUAUUUUGUUGGUUUCUAGGAUUGACGUA